UCCCUGGUAGUCCAGUGGCUAAGACUCUGCACUCCCAAUGCAGCGGGGGGGCCCAGGUUAGAUCCCUGGCCAGGGAA